AGUGAACGCUGGCGGUAGGCCUAACACAUGCAAGUCGAACGGCAGCACAGUAAGAGCUUGCUCUUACGGGUGGCGAGUGGCGGACGGGUGAGGAAUACAUCGGAAUCUACUUUUUCGUGGGGGAUAACGUAGGGAAACUUACGCUAAUACCGCAUCCGACCUACGGGUGAAAGCAGGGGAUCUUCGGACCUUGCGCGAUUGAAUGAGCCGAUGUCGGAUUAGCUAGUUGGCGGGGUAAAGGCCCACCAAGGCGACGAUCCGUUGCUGGUCUGAGAGGAGGGUCGGCCACACUGGAACGGAGACACGGUCCAGACUCCUACGGGAGGCAGCAGUGGGGAAUAUUGGACAAUGGGCGCAAGCCUGAUCCAGCCAUACCGCGUGGGUGAAGAAGGCCUUCGGGUUGUAAAGCCCUUUUGUUGGGAGAGAAAAGCAGCAGGUUAAUACCCCGCUGUUCUGACGGUACCCAAAGAAUAAGCACCGGCUAACUUCGUG
rnacentral:rRNA from 1 species